rnacentral:tRNA from 1 species
GGUCGGUUUGCCGAGUGGUUAGGCGCUGGUCUGCAAAACCAGUUACAGCGGUUCGAAUCCGCUACCGACCUCCU